UACGGAGGGUGCAAGCGUUAUCCGGAUUCACUGGGCUUAAAGGGUGUGUAGGCGGGUUAUUAAGUCAGUGGUGAAAUCUCCGGGCUCAACCCGGAAACUGCCAUUGAUACUAUUAGCCUUGAAUUCUGUUGAGGUGGGCGGAAUAUGUCAUGUAGCGGUGAAAUGCAUAGAUAUGACAUAGAACACCAAUUGCGAAGGCAGCUCACUAAACAGCGAUUGACGCUGAGGCACGAAAGCGUGGGGAUCAAACAGG
rnacentral:rRNA from 1 species